rnacentral:tRNA from 1 species
CCGGCCCUUUAGCUCAGUUGGUCAGAGCAUCAGCCUUCUAAGCUGACGGUGCGAGGUUCGAGCCCUCGGUGGCGGA